CCUACGGGAGGCUGCAGUGAGGAAUAGUGGGCAAUGGACGAGAGUCUGAACCAGCCAAGUAGCGUGAAGGAUGACUGCCCUAUGGGUUGUAAACUUCUUUUAUAUGGGAAUAAAAUGUGCCACGUGGGGGAUUGUGUAUGUACCAUAUGAAUAAGGAUCGGCUAACUCCGUGCCAGCAGCCGCGGUAAUACGGAGGAUCCGAGCGUUAUCCGGAUUUAUUGGGUUUAAAGGGAGCGUAGGUGGAUUGUUAAGUCAGUUGUGAAAGGUUGCGGCGCAACCGGAAAAUUGCAGUUGAAACUGGCAGUCUUGAGUACAGUAGAGGUGGGCGGCAUUCGUGUUGUAGCGGUGCAAUGCU
rnacentral:rRNA from 1 species